rnacentral:rRNA from 1 species
GAUGAACGCUAGCGGCAGGCUUAACACAUGCAAGUCGAGGGGCAGCACGAGGUAGCAAUACUUUGGUGGCGACCGGCGCACGGGUGCGGUAACGCGUAUGCAACCUACCUUUAACAGGGCAGUAACACUGAGAAAUUGGUACUAAUUCCCCAUAACAUUCGAGAAGGCAUCUUCUUGGGUUAAAACUCCGGUGGUUAAAGAUAGGGCUAUGCGUUGUAUUAGCUAGUUGGUGAGGUAACGGCUCACCAAGGUCAAC